AUAAAAUAAAAUAAUUAUAUGUCCUUAACAGUCUCUAAAAUGUAUCUGUACAAAUAUAAAUAAGUUGAGGCAUUCAUAAGUAGCUCCUGUAUGUUCAGCGGGACCUUUUCAGGCUUCUCAUAAAUUUUUAAAAGUUCACCCGACAACACAAGGCGCUGUAUAUUGAAGGACGAACACUCGAAGAAGAGAUGAUGUAGAGAUUGAACACUUGAUGUUUGACAAUGAUCACAGCAUGGCGAUCUAACCAUUUUGAGACGAUGGAGAUGGUAAUUUAAUCGACAAUGACCAAAGCGCAUACGACAAAUAAUUGAAUAAAACUUUUUAUUUAUGAAGUCACCUUUUUUACAAAACCAAGCAUUUAAAAUAGCAACAGCUUCAGCUGUAAAAAUACUAGUAGUAUUAGAAAUUCUCCUAGCAAUAGCUAUAUUUGAAGAAGGCUCAUAAAAAGCAAAAGACACAGCUGAAUCACUCUUGGAACCAUCUGUAUACACCAUUUUAUGAUCUGACCACUUUGAUAACAUGGUGUAAACUUCCUUAUUUGAGGGUAAAUCUUUUUUCUGUUUUAUAAUUAUGUCCAUUGCUGGAAACUUGCCAUCAAAAGUUCCUUCAUAGCAAGGUAAAAUGUGUUUAGAUUGAUAAAUAUUAAUAUUUUGAAUAAAAUCUAUAAAAUUUGGAAGAUCUUGCGACAUAUAGAAAGGUUUUAACCCUAUGUGAGUAGUUGAGUGCAAAAAAUUUUUUAAAAGACUAUUACUAGAUAUACUGUAUAGUUUCAAAAGAAACCUUUCUUUCAAGUAAUUGAAUCGAAUAGCUAGUGGUGGAACAUUACAUUCAAUCUGUAAUGCAUUUACAGGUGUACUUCUGAAUGCCCCAGUUAUUACACGCAAACACUUAUUUUGUAAAAUAUUUAAACUAUUUACAAGUUUAGAAUCUGCAGCAAAACAGUAAAAACCAUAUUCAAAGUGACUACGAACUAAAGAUUUAUACAACAAUAACAAAAUUUUAGGGUCUGCACCCCAAUGUGUACCACUUAAGGAUUUUAAUAUAUUGUAGGCUUUAUUAGCCCUACCAAUUAUAUGUUUUAUAUAAAUAUUCCAGGUCAAAUUAUAUGAAAAAAUCACUCCCAAAAAUUUCACCUCAGGUGUUAUAGCUAACAUGCAAUUGUUAUACAUCACAGCAUGAAUACUAUAAUUCUGUUUACCAAAUAUAACAACUUUAGAUUUAAGAGGAUUAACACAUAAAUCAAGAUCACAGAAAUAUUUAUACAAAUUCGCUAAGGCAACAUUGACUAAUUCAACAACCUGAGAAACAUUCUUCCCAGAUGCAUAAACUACUAAAUCAUCUGCAAACUGUAGGUUUUUUACCUGAGACCCUAAAAUUAAAUUUAAACGACGAAUAUACAAUAUGAACAUCAAAGGUGAUAAAAUACCACCUUGACAAACUCCUUUUGAUGACAAUCUAGGGCCAUAAAGAUGUUUGUUAAACUUAAUAAAUACUUCCCUGCUAUUGAGAAAUUUUUUAACCCAGUUUAUAAUUUUUCCAGGAAUACCUAUCAGUGACAACUCAUUACACAAAACAUCUAUAUUUACACUAUUAAAAGCACCAGCAAUAUCAAAAAAUACAGCAACUAAAUUUUCAUUUUUGGACAAGGAAUUAUGAAUAUCAAAUUGUAAUUGGCAAACACUUUCCCUAGCAGAACGAUUCCUACGAAAACCAAACUGAUUUGAUGGAAUGUGAUAACUAGUGCCAAGAGAGCUAUCAUGUACACCCCAUUCACAAUUAAUUGCUAAGGAUGAAGAAGCCAGAGUUAAAUCCAGAGCAUUAGGUCGCCAAGUUAAAGAUCCAACUGUUGUUGCUUGACCAUUAUUAAGCAGAACUAAAUUAUUAUCAUCAAUAACAUCCAAAACGUCACGACCACGUAUUGAGUCUGAGCCACAACCCCAAGAGGUAUGAUGAGCAUUAAAGUCUCCGGCAAAUAUAAAAGGUUCAGGGAUAGAUUUGAUUAAUAAAUCGAAGUUGCGUUUUUUGAAUUCUGGAUUACAUUUUAAAGGACUAUAAAAACUUACUAUACUAAUUUCUUUGUUAUUAACUUUUAUUUUUACACAGAUAUUUUGUAAUGAGUUGUCAAAGUAAGUAUUGACUUUAUUGUAAGCAAUACUAUUGUGAAUAAUUAUUGCAACUCCGUUAUGUUUGUUACCAGUAUCAUUUCUUUCAAUAUUAUAAUGUUUUAUUUUAAAAUUUUGUUGAGGUUUAAACCAUGUUUCACUUAUAAUUGCUAUGUGUAUAUUUUGAGUAUAAAGAAAAUCCAUAAAUAUAUGCUUAUUACUAUUUAAACUUUGAGCAUUCCAUUGCACUAUCUUCAAUUCAGAGAGAUCCAUUAGGCGGUUAAGGAAAAUUUAUUGUUAAAUGAAGUUUUUAAUGUUUCUUUUAUAGAUGUAAAAUUAAUAGGUGUCUCCUUAUUAUUGACUAUUAGAAUGAUUGUCUCAACUAAACUAUUAACAAACCUAUCAGAUUUCAUCAAAUUAUUUACUUGUGUAUCUAAAUUACGUGCUGUUAGAGCUGGGAAGGCAUUAGUAUUAAAUAAAUCUAAAUAUGUGGCACUCUUA